AGUUCUGAGUUCCGGAUUCUGCAGAAUCUGCAGCAACCAACAGAUUAACCCACAGAUUAACCAUUCCAGACAAAAUCUGAGGGCAAGAGAGUAUCCACCUAUCAUUCCCAUAACCCCCAUAUAAGUGAAUAAUACAACAAAAAAAUCUCACUGACUCACCGAUACACGUCAAGGAUACCACCAUACUUCAUAGUUUUAACAUAAAUAAACAUGUUCACCUAUAGAGCAACUCCCAACACCUUAUCAAACCUAUUGUCCAAGGUUGACAGUUGAAACAUACCCAGGGCUCCAGGCUUGCCAUAAUUAUAGAUGCAGAUAUUUAUGACCCUUUUUUACGCUGUAGACUCAGAUCCAGUCUCCGAUUUAUCGGUCUCCAUAGGCUCCGGCACAUGAUCACUUGCAUUGGGCUCCCCUUCAGGUUGCUGAGAAGAGCCUUCAGGCGUGGGAGCCUGAGACUCUGUCGGAGGAGCUGACUGAGGCUUAGCCGGCUUUGGCUUCGGUUUUGUCAUAAUUGGCUUACAGAACCUGUCAAGGGUUUCAGUCUUCUUUUUCAAAUCAGCAGCAAGCAGAACUGGAUUAGCAUAUUUGGGUAAGGCAUCCUGCUGUUGCUCCUUCUGUUUCAACCAAGCCUCUGCCUCCGAACACUCGUGGAUGACCUUUUGCUUUUCUGCUAUGUCAAUGUGAUCAAAUUUUGGAUCGCUAGACAAAGCGGCUUCUCUGAAGCUAUUGAUACAAUACACAAGUUGGUUGGUAGCUGGUCCUCUCUCUGUCCACUCUUUGUAACGUUCUUCGAUUGGAUCACCUUGCUUUUUAAGGUCCUCGAGUUUGGCAACAUAGACUCCUUUUGUCUCGUCCUCACCAUCUUCAU
rnacentral:misc_RNA from 1 species